rnacentral:snoRNA from 2 species
ACGGAAGUGAGGAUCCUUUACCCAAACGAUCGACCAUUUGUAUACUGCGCGCAACUGUAAUCUCACCGGGAUUCCAAGCCAGAAAUCUGAUCCAU